AUUGAACGCUGGCGGCAUGCCUUACACAUGCAAGUCGAACGGCAGCACGGGGCAACCUGGUGGCGAGUGGCGAACGGGUGAGUAAUGCAUCGGAACGUGCCAUUGAGUGGGGGAUAACGUAGCGAAAGUUGCGCUAAUACCGCAUAUUCGGUGAGCAGGAAAGCAGGGGACCGCAAGGCCUUGCGCUCUUUGAGCGGCCGAUGUCAGAUUAGCUAGUUGGUGAGGUAACGGCUUACCAAGGCGACGAUCUGUAGCGGGUCUGAGAGGAUGAUCCGCCACACUGGAACUGAGACACGGUCCAGACUCCUACGGGAGGCAGCAGUGGGGAAUUUUGGACAAUGGGCGCAAGCCUGAUCCAGCCAUGCCGCGUGAGUGAAGAAGGCCUC
rnacentral:rRNA from 1 species